rnacentral:lncRNA from 1 species
GGAAAAUGAUAAGUGUUUAGCCGCUUUCUAUUUGGUAUUUGGUAUUUGUAUUACUUGUUUCCGGUUGGUGACCCUUAUUUUGCAUGCCAUAUCGCGGGCUCCUCCCACCCCCAGACGAUGGAGCGCCAUCUGAGACCGUAGGUCGUGUGGACGGCGAGGACUUCGUGGACUAUCCCGGAGUGUAGAGAGUAGCGCUUGUUAGGCUACAUUUUUGGUAGGCUUAGGUUAUAUUUUGGGAUGACUUUAUGUCUUAUACAUUUAUACUCAGACAUGUUUAGUGCCUUUUGGCCUUGUGAUAUAUUCGGUUUAUAACUCGUGUCUUUUGGUUGAUGAACUUAAUGUAUCCGCUGUAUGUAAAUUAUUCAGGUACACAUUUGCUUUUCGAAGCCC